rnacentral:tRNA from 1 species
GGGAGAGUAGCUCAGUAGGUUAGAGCCUUGGGUCGCUGGUUCGAGUCCAGUCUUUCCCA